ACCUCGGAUCAGGUAGGGAUACCCGCUGAACUUAAGCAUAUCAAUAAGCCGGAGGAU
rnacentral:rRNA from 1 species